rnacentral:tRNA from 1 species
AUCGUUUUAGGCCUAGGGCAUUUUGAUUUCGGCUCAAAAAGAGUGGGUCAACCCACAAAGCGUU